rnacentral:rRNA from 1 species
UGGGGAAUAUUGGACAAUGGGCGCAAGCCUGAUCCAGCCAUGCCGCGUGAGUGAUGAAGGCCCUAGGGUUGUAAAGCUCUUUCACCGGUGAAGAUAAUGACGGUAACCGGAGAAGAAGCCCCGGCUAACUUCGUGCCAGCAGCCGCGGUAAUACGAAGGGGGCUAGCGUUGUUCGGAUUUACUGGGCGUAAAGCGCACGGAGGCGGACUAUUAAGUCAGGGGUGAAAUCCCGGGGCUCAACUCCGGAACUGCCUUUGAUACUGGUAGUCUUGAAUUCGAGAGAGGUGAGUGGAAUUCCGAGUGUAGAGGUGAAAUUCGUAGAUAUUCGGAGGAACACCAGUGGCGAAGGCGGCUCACUGGCUCGAUACUGACGCUGAGGUGCGAAAGCGUGGGGAGCAAACAGG